UUUUAAAUUUUCACGGACAGCUCUCUCUCUCAAACACUCACUCUCGCGACGUUUUCAGAAAUCGCUCUCUCUCUCUCUCUCUCUCUCUCUCUCACUCUCAAUUCCCUUUCUCAUCUCUGAAAAGCCAUCUUGGUUACGAGCUCGCCGUCUAGGUCACAAAUCUCGCCAUCCAGGUCACAGAUCUCACCGUCCAGGUCACUGAGGUCGCCAUUUUGGUUUCAAUAUCGCGAUAACUCUCUAGCUAGCUUCACUCUGGCUCUCUCAACGACUCUCUGUCUCGAUGGCUCUCUGUCUCUCCAUCUUCCUCUCUCCGUCUCUCUCUUGAUGGCUCCCUCUCCAUCUUCCUCUCGACGGCUCUCUCUCGUCGUCUAUCUCUCGAUGGCUCUCUCUUGCUGGCGCUAUCUUUCUUGUUGUCUCUCUCUAGCUCACUCUAUCUCUUCGCUGGCUCGCUCCAUCUCUCUCGCUGGCUGGCUCCAUGAGAGCCUCCCUUCCUCCAUUCCACAGGGAUUUAUAUAUGUGUGAAUUUGUGUUUGUUCCUCCAUUGUUUAUGAGAUUCUGAAUCAGAGAAAUCCAUUUGAUUGAAGCUUGGAAACAAAGCGUCUAUGGAGAACAUAUUUUGCUUGUGAUUGUGUCGAUUUGAGUUUCUGUUUGGAUGCUGUGAAAACUGAGACAAAGGGAUUUAAAAAAGGGGAGCAUAACUUAUCUCGAUUGGCAGUUUCAAUAUGUUUUUUUAUUCCCAAAUGAAGCUAGACAGGGCUACAUAUCCCCUUAUUUCAUCACCAACCAGAAAAAUCAGAAAUGUGAAUUGGAAAAUCCUCUAAUCAUAAUCCAUGAGAAGAAAAUCUCAAGUAUUAAUGUUGUGGUUAAAGUAUUGGAGUUGGCUUUGCAGAAGCAAAGGCCUUUGCUGAUUGUCGCCGCAUAUGUGGAGAGUGACCUUAUUCUAAAUAAGCUUCGUGCUAGAAUCAAGGUCUGUGCAAUCAAAGCCCCUGGUUUAGGGAAGUCAGCAUGCUGCCUUUUUCUUUAGUCUUAUUGCUUGGUGAAAUCAUUUAAACGUACAUCUGAUUACUGGCCAAACGAUAUCUUUGUCAAUCUCUAUUUAUCCUCAUUGAUGAGUAUUAAUUUAAAGGAUCUACCAGUGGGGAAUACUUAAAGGAUUGGGAUACUAAGAUAAAUUUGACUCUUCUUGCUAGUUUGGCUCGGUAGGGAAGAAUGUUUCUUAACCUUCCACUCUCUGAGCCAGAAAUUCAUGGAGAGGUAUGAAUCUCUUUGGUUUGUUUCAUUAUUUCACAUUUCACUAUUUUGGUUUGAUCUGCGUCAAUAUCUUGCUACCUUCUAUUCCAUAGUAUCUCAUAGAUGUUGAUUUUACACCUUAUAUGUGUGCUUUAUCUAUGUUGGACAGAGCUUCUAAUUUAUUUUCUUGCUAAUGAUAUCUGUUUCUUUAUUUCAAUAGUGGAAUACUGGUUUUGAUUGUAAUUAAUGCAUUUUCGUGAUACUUUUAGUCACUUUGCCAAAUGGAGCAUGAAAAUGCCAAAUUCCUUAAUGCUAAAAGAGAGCUCAGUGAUGAAAAUGUCUCUUCAUAUGAGAAACAGCGGAAAUCUUAUGAACAAUUGCACCACAAUGUCUCAUUGUAAGUUGCUUUACAUUUUUGCUGCCAUUUCUUUUCAUUUUUUAAUUAAUGACUUCGUGGUGCAGGUCAGAUGAAUCACAUAGUUUGGUAAACAGUUGGUAAAAGAGUUGAAGUUGCAACCAGAUGGAUGAUAUGCCUGCUUUUGAAGGUUCCACCAGAAGAGCAGAAGCUUGCAGUCAUUCAACUGUGGUGAAUCUUAUUUUUAUGUUUUUGGAUCAAUUGACCUAUCUAGGUUGGGUUGUAGAGUCAUCUAGGUUUGUUUUUGAGGGAGAUGUAUGUCUAGACUUGGAUUUGAAUUUGUUCAAAUUUGGAUAGCUUGUGAAUUUGGUGGAAGAAUGUUGAUAUUUUUUAAA